GACUAGAUGCACAAACAAACUCCUCUUACCCGACAUCUUUUCCUUCUCCCCUUCUCAUAUACCUUUUUAGUAUGCCUAGGAGAUCUUCAAACUGAUUCAGCUAAGUUUCAACUAUCCAGAUGGAGGGCACAUUAAAUGCUGAUAUGAGUGCUUCAGCACGAAUACAAGACUUUGAGUAUUUAUAUGCAUCAAAUACUAAUGUAUCCAACUUUGUUUCCGUUAAACUUUCAGGCAACAACAACUAUCAUGUUUGGAAGUCACAAAUGCUUUGCCUGUUGGACAGUAACAAUAUGGGCGGCAUCGUGGACGCCAAAUUUGUCGGUCCGAGAUAUUAUGGCACGGAUAGAGGGAGACAAUACGACAGUCUUGCGAGAGGUUGGAUUUUGGGUUCUCUAAGUGAAGAUGUAAUUGCGGAUGUCCACAAUCUCGGUUCCGCUAAAGCUGUUUGGGAAAAACUAAAGCGCAUAUAUGAUCCUGCUUUGUGUUUGAAAGAAGAUUCAACUCCAAGAAAUUCACAUGUGGAAACAGGAAGAGAUACAGAAACAGAAGCAAACGAUAAAGGGUAAAGACAUAGUUCCACCAGAAACGGCAAUAGAAAUUGAAGAUACCCAAAAACACAUUAAACACAAGAAGGGAGAAAACAUUAAAAACAAGAACGGACAAAAGAAAAAGUUACGUGCAGCUACUAUAAAGGGGGACUGGUCAGGAGUAGAAUCCAUACUAAAAGAAAACGAAGGCCUAACGACAGAGGCGAUCAGUAGUGAUGGUAGCACAAUACUUCACAUUGCUGUUGGAAUAGGUCAUAAUGACAUCGUGAAAAAUUUGAUUCCGUAUUUAAGUGAUGAGCAAGUACUGAAACAGAGAGAUUCUGAUGGAAGCACGUCACUACACAUUGCUGCAAUUGUUGGCAACAAAGAUGCAGCGUGUCUGCUGGUUAAAUGGAACAACAAGUUGUUACGGAUUAAGGAUGAUAAUGAUGCAGAACCAUUGCAAAAAGCUUUUGAGAAUAUGCAUCUUGAUACCAUUCUAUAUUUGUUGAAAGCCGUCAAUGAGAAUGUUGAUACCGAGUUGAAACCAGACACUGCUCACCCUAGUGACGAAAUUGCGGUCGACCUUCUUGUUAAUGCUAUUUCUGCAAAACAAUACAGUUUAGCAUUAGACUUGGUGCAAAACUUUCCUAAAGCAGCCUCAAAAAGUGACAAUGUACUGAUGGCCAUAGCAAAAUCUUUUCCAAGUGGACUAGACCACUGGCAAACACUUAUAUAUCCUUCCCUCAAAAAUAUUGAGGACAUGUUGCAAUUUGUAGCUUCGUUAAUUGCAGGAUUUCUUUUGUUCCCAUAUGUCGUAGCUGUAUUUCUCAUAGCUUUAGCUCUCAAUGAGGGAUAUAUUGAUGAAGGAAGAAAGGCUAAUGAAUGUUUUCGAAAAAGGCCUGGUUUGGUGUUUGCUUUUUCGUUACUCGCACUACCAAUUACCAUGCUUAUAUCGGCCAUUUUAGUUAUCUGCCUCCUCAUAUUGAUCAUUUGUUUCUCGUUCCUUCUGCUCUAUUCGCUCUUAUGGAAGGGCGCGAAUAUACUAGCUUUUCCACCCAUCAAGCAUAUGGAGAAUAAAAAGAAGGAAUGGGAUGAAGCGAAAAGCUUCUAGAACUGGUAUGUGAUGAAAUAGACAAGUUGGACUACUCUGGUACUUAUCACCCCAAUUAUACCCGGCCAAUUCUUGAGGCUGCAUCUCAAAAUGCAUAUACAGUUGUUGAUGAGAUUUUGUAUAGAUCACCUGAAGCAAUUCAUAGCACAGAUAAAAGUGGGUAUGACAUUAUUCAAUUAGCGAUAAUAAAUCGUUCGGAAAAAAUAUACAACCUUAUCUAUGACAUUGGGGAACGUAAGAAUCUUUACAGAACCUAUAAAGAUUCUUUCGAUAAUAAUAUCUUGCACUUGGCUGGAAGAUUGGCCCCGUCUAAUGUACUCAACCAGGACAGGUGCAGCAUUACAAUUACAACGAGAGCUUCGAUGGCGUGAGGAAGUGAAGAAAUUUGUGUUUCCCACAUAUAUUACACAAGAGAACAUUUUUAAGGAGACACCAGAUAUGGUAUUCACAAGGGAACAUGAGAACUUGGUGAAGGACGGAGAAAAGUGGAUGAAAACCACUGCGGAAUCAUGUAGCAUAACUGCUGCUCUUAUUACUACAAUCGUAUUUGCAGCUGCAAUCACCGUACCAGGUGGAAGCAAUGAAGGAAAUGGGAUCCCCUUGUUUAAAAAUAAAAUUCCAUUUAUUAUCUUCGCCGUCUCAGAUGAAAUCUCACUAUUUGCAUCCAGUAUGGCACUACUGGUAUUCUUGUCUAUCCUAACGGCACGUUUUGCUGAGAAUGACUUUCUAGUGAGUUUGCCAAGGAGAUUGUUUAUUGGACUUUUCUCCUUAUUACUUUCCACAACUGCCAUGAUGGUAGCCUUUAGCGCAACCUUAUUUCUUGUCUUCUGUGAUGAAAAAUUAUGGAUGCUUGCUCCGAUAUGUGGAUUAGCUUUCAUUCCGAUUGCUUUUUUUGUUGGGUUACAAUUCCCCCUCAUGGUAGAUCUUUUUAGGUCUACUUAUAUACGCAUCUUUGGCAAACAAAGGAAAAGCAUAAUCCGAAGAUUUAAUCCGGAUGAUAUACGGUUGCUUUUUGGAAACAAGCGAGCAGCUGCAACGGGAGAAAAGAAGCGGAAUGACAAGAAAGACAAACAAUUAGUGAGGGCGCAAACGAAGAGAGAUUUGCAGCCAUGAAUGAAUGAUUACGAAUGUUUGCAGAAGUCAUGGCACAAAACUUCCAACAGGGGCCACAAAUUUGAUGUAGUUAAGCAAUGGUAUUUUUUAAAUUCUGCAAUUCAUUACAACAAUAUAUUUGGAUGUUCGUGUAUUAUAUUUUGAAUAAUUAUGUUGU